UGCUCUUGCUCCAGUCUGGCCUCUAAAUUAUUUCAGAAUGAGCGGGGAGUUGAGCCUCCCUGAGGCAUGAUAAGAAUGUGUAAGAACCUUUUACCUUUAUAAAAAGAAGUUAAUAUCAAAGAUACGCUCAUUCAAGGCCUCUGGGAGGUAUCUUUCACCUGAAGGCUAAAAGUAAUGUAAAACAUGAUGUUAAUAGAAAGGGGGGUUCAGAAGUCAUCAUAUGCUAUUGCUAUUACUACUAAUACUAUUAGAAAUGACAGCAGCAACAAUCAUAGGUGAAACUGCAAGGUGUAAAGUGACAGCAAAGAUGCAGUCUCUGGCACCAAUUUGCUGAUAGCCCAGGGGGUGGCUGAGAUGUGGACCACUGAGAACCACUACUCUCUUGUGUGUUAUUUCUUUAACAGAGUUCUGC
rnacentral:lncRNA from 1 species